rnacentral:rRNA from 1 species
UACGGAGGGGACUAGCGUUGUUCGGAAUUACUGGGCGUAAAGCGCACGUAGGCGGAUUUGUAAGUCAGGGGUGAAAUCCCGGGGCUCAACCUCGGAACUGCCUUUGAUACUGCAAAUCUCGAGUCCGGAAGAGGUGAGUGGAAUUCCUAGUGUAGAGGUGAAAUUCGUAGAUAUUAGGAAGAACACCAGUGGCGAAGGCGGCUCACUGGUCCGGUACUGACGCUGAGGAGCGAAAGCGUGGGGAGCGAACAGG